rnacentral:rRNA from 1 species
GACGAACGCUGGCGGCGUGCUUAACACAUGCAAGUCGAACGGAAAGGCCUGCUUUCCCUUGUGGAUUGCGGGUACUCGAGUGGCGAACGGGUGAGUAACACGUGAGUGAUCUGCCCCCAACUUGGGUAUAAGCCUGGGAAACUGGGUCUAAUUCCCGAUAGGACUGCAGGGUGGUGCCUGUGGUGGAAAACGAUUUUCUAGUGGUUGGGGAUGAGCUCGCGGCCUAUCAGCUUGUUGGUGGGGUAAUGGCCUACCAAGGCGGCGACGGGUAGCCGGCCUGAGAGGGUGGACGGCCACAGUGGGACUGAGAUGCGGCCCAGGCUCCUACGGGAGGCAGCAGUGGGGAAGAUGGCACAAUGGGCGGAAGCCUGAUGCAGCGACGCCGCGUGGGGGAUGACGGCCUGCGGGUUGUAAACUCCUUUCGACCGCGAGGAAGCCACCUGGUUGGAAGGGUGGUGACGGUAGUGGUAGAAGAAGCACCGGCUAACUACGUG